GAUCAUGGCUCAGGAUAACGCUGGCGGCGCACAUAAGACAUGCAAGUCGAACGGACUUAACUCAUCUUUUAGAUUGAGAGCGGUUAGUGGCGGACUGGUGAGUAAUACGUAAGCAACCUGCCUAUCAGAGGGGAACAACAGUUAGAACGACUGCUAAUACCGCAUAAGCGCACUAAAGCUGCAUGGCUCAGUGUGAAAAACUCCGGUGGUAUAAGAUGGAUUCGCGUCUGAUUAGCUAGUUGGUGGGGUAACGGCUCACCAAGGCGACGAUCAGUAGCCGGCCUGAGAGGGUGAACGGCCACAUUGGGACUGAGACACGGCCCAAACUCCUACGGGAGGCAGCAGUGGGGAAUAUUGCACAAUGGGGGAAACCCUGAUGCAGCGACGCCGCGUGAGUGAAGAAGUAUUUCGGUAUGUAAAGCUCUAUCAGCAGGGAAGAAAAUGACGGUACCUGACUAAGAAGCCCCGGCUAACUACGUG
rnacentral:rRNA from 1 species